AAGGAAAACACUUUUUUCUCUUUGCUUCUUUGAAGCCACAAAGUGCUUUGAGCAGUGCCUGGCAAAAAGUAAGCUCUAUAUAAGUCCUAAAUUCUAAAUAAAUGCCAAGUUGUUGUUAGGGUUAUUAUUGGCAAUGGUUUUUCUUCUACCUCUGAAUACUUCUCAGUCUCCUUCCUCUAACUGAUCUCUAAUUUUGGAAUCCCUCAGAUUUUGACUAGUGGAGAAGAUUUUAUCUAUCACUGUAGCCUUAAAUUAAAACAAAACAAAAAAAAACCCUUGUAUUCACAGCCACCAACCUAAAAUCAAGCCCAGACUUUACCCCAGUCCCUCAAACUCCUCUACUUACUGAUUUCAUAUUUUUAUUUGAAUGUUUCAGCCACAUUUUAAGUCAUAUAUAUAUAUAUAUAUGUAUAUAUAUAUAUAUAUAUAUAUAUGUAUAUAUAUAUAUAUAUAUAUAUAUGUAUAUAUAUAUAUAUAUAUAUAUAUAUAAUCCUACUCCUUUCCCCAAAUCUCUUCUUCUUGUCUUGUCUUAGAUCUCAUUGGCUAGAACUUACGAAUAAUAAUUCAUUCCCUGGAGUUGAAUGCAUUGCCACCCAAACAAAACUGGGUUUCUUUUAGCAAGGAAGAAGAUAUUACAAGUAUGAGGUAGGCACUGUGUGCCACAACUAAGUUCCUGUGCAAGCUAGUGGUAGUGUAGUUUGAGUGAGUGUCAGUUCCUGCCAGCUUCCCCUUCACAGUUUUCCCCUCCCCAGGGUUCUCUUUGUAUGAUCUUUGGCCUCCUUUUGGUUCCUGAAAUAUACCAAUUUCUUUCCUGACUCCUGGCCCUUUGCAUUUGAUGUUCCUUUCACCUGCAUAUCUUUUCAUUUGAAAGUCUUGGCUAGUGGUCAUGCUUCUCUUUUAAGGUCUUAGGUCAAAUGUUGUCAUACCCUUGGGGAGCCAAGCUAGCCACUAAAUCUAAGCCAGAUUCUCAUUUGCUCUCUCUAACCUGUAACCUUCUAUCUCAUCACUUUGGAUAUUUCCUUCUUGCCCUUCAUAAUACUUUUUCUAUUUAUUCUCACUUGUUAAUUAUUAAGUUUCUUCCUACAGUAAAAUGUAAGCUCAUGAGCAUAGUUUGCUUCUUAUUCACCUUUGUACCUAAAUUGUUCAGAACAGUGCCUGGGACAUAGUAGGUGUUCAAUGAAUAUGCCGUGAAUAAAUGGAUGGAAAUAGGAGUAAAUAGAUGGAUAUGAAUAUAAAAAUAAAAAAUGCAAGAUUAAAUAAAGACAGAAGAGAACCAAAAAAGAACACAAAGAUGUAUAUUUUUGGUAGGAGACAAAUACAUAUAAUCACAUAAGAAGUAACCUCAUCUUGAGCCAUUGCUGGCUUCAAAGCAUGCAUUUUAUGUCCCAAAACAGUAGACACACUUUUUAAAAUUUUACAAGUUUUCUUUGUUUAUAUGGUACUGGGAGUUAAACCCAGGGCCUUCUGCAUGCUAGGCAAGUGUUCUACCUCUGAGCAACAUCCCCAAACCCUAGGCCUGCC
rnacentral:lncRNA from 1 species